rnacentral:rRNA from 1 species
CCUAAGGUAGCGAAAUUCCUUGUCGGGUAAGUUCCGACCUGCACGAAUGGCGUAAUGAUGGCCAGGCUGUCUCCACCCGAGACUCAGUGAAAUUGAACUCGCUGUGAAGAUGCAGUGUACCCGCGGCAAGACGGAAAGACCCCGUGAACCUUUACUAUAGCUUGACACUGAACAUUGAGCCUUGAUGUGUAGGAUAGGUGGGAGGCUUUGAAGCGUGGACGCCAGUCUGCGUGGAGCCAACCUUGAAAUACCACCCUUUAAUGUUUGAUGUUCUAACGUUGGCCCCUUAUCGGGGUUGCGGACAGUGUCUGGUGGGUAGUUUGACUGGGGCGGUCUCCUCCCAAAGAGUAACGGAGGAGCACGAAGGUUAGCUAAUCCUGGUCGGACAUCAGGAGGUUAGUGCAAUGGCAUAAGCUAGCUUGACUGCGAGCGUGACGGCGCGAGCAGGUGCGAAAGCAGGUCAUAGUGAUCCGGUGGUUCUGAAUGGAAGGGCCAUCGCUCAACGGAUAAAAGGUACUCCGGGGAUAACAGGCUGAUACCGCCCAAGAGUUCAUAUCGACGGCGGUGUUUGGCACCUCGAUGUCGGCUCAUCACAUCCUGGGGCUGAAGUAGGUCCCAAGGGUAUGGCUGUUCGCCAUUUAAAGUGGUACGCGAGCUGGGUUUAGAACGUCGUGAGACAGUUCGGUCCCUAUCUGCCGUGGGCGCUGGAGAAUUGAGGGGGGCUGCUCCUAGUACGAGAGGACCGGAGUGGACGCAUCACUGGUGUUCGGGUUGUCAUGCCAAUGGCAUUGCCCGGUAGCUAAAUGCGGAAGAGAUAAGUGCUGAAAGCAUCUAAGCACGAAACUUGCCCCGAGAUGAGUUCUCCCUGAGACUUUAAGUCUCCUGAAGGAACGUUAAAGACGAUGACGUUGAUAGGUCGGGUGUGUAAGCGUAGCGAUACGUUGAGCUAACCGAUACUAAUGAACCGUGAGGCUUAACCUU